rnacentral:rRNA from 1 species
UGGGGAAUUUUGGACAAUGGGCGCAAGCCUGAUCCAGCCAUGCCGCGUGCGGGAAGAAGGCCUUCGGGUUGUAAACCGCUUUUGUCAGGGAAGAAAAGCUUCAAGCUAAUAUCUUGAGGUGAUGACGGUACCUGAAGAAUAAGCACCGGCUAACUACGUG